UUCUGUUAACUCAAAAGUUAACUCAAAUUUGUAUGGAGUUGGAAAAGCUUCCCUUGGUUUGCCGCUAGGGGCGCUGUUCCAACUCCAUACAGAUUUGAGUUAACUUUUACGCGAUCGA
rnacentral:pre_miRNA from 9 species